AAGCAAAUAUAUUCAGUGACUGAUCACAUAAAAACAAAUACGUCUUUUUUCCCCCCAUUCCUCAUGGGAGGCUGCUCUACUGCUGGCAAAGAGACAGGCAAUGAUGCAUCCAGAGUCACCUUGCAAGUGCUGGGCAGGGCCAAGGACAGAAUGUCAUCUCUUUGAACACAGGGGAGGGCUUUCUGUGCCAGGCUGGACGCUUCUCCUGAGCUGCUGGAAAAUCUCCCACCAGCGAGCCAUGUCACCAGCUGCAGAAUUUGCUCCUUUGUCCAGCCUUUGCCAUGACAUGCAGUGGAUGAGGGGAUGGAGCACAGCAGAGGUCCCACUGACCCGUGGUGCCUUCCAACAGCAGCCUUCUGUCUGCAGCUGACUCAGUUUUCUGUAUAAAUCACUCUCGGGUAUCUCAGCUGCUCAGCUUGAUCUUCACACUAGGUCCUCACACAGAUGGCAGAGUCUGUGGCAGGCAAAAAGGUCUUCCUCAUUAAUUACUUCACUCUUCAAGUCCUCUGUUAUAGACAUCUCUAUGCACAAAACAGGUAAGUAGAUAUUGUUGGCUUAUUUUAUGUCUGGGAAAAUUAGGUCCAUGGGGUGAUCAGCAUGGUUUAAAUAGAAAGAGACAGAUGUUAAAUGACUUUCCUAGAACAUUAAGGUGCUCACUGUCCCCAGAGUCCUUGGCUUAGAUUCACUAGCAGAGAACAUUUUUAUAAUAGAUUGGCAGUGGGUUGCUUUUAAAAGAUUUUCUUGUUUGAAUUGAAAGACUCACCUUAAAGAAAAACCUGACUAUGUGUGUGUCAUGACAAAUAGAGGCACAGAGGUUACAAGUUUCUGAGCACUGAGCUGGAAAGCACUCAGUGAAUUAAAUAACCUGCUGUUAUUUAGCAGAGGUUUUAGAACUGGGACUAAAACAUGGGAUAGACCAGUCAUUGCUUUUUCCCAUCCAUAUGAGUUUUACUGGUCAUAUUAAUUGUGACCAAAGUUGCUAUUUUUCCUGAGUGCAUUGGAAACUAUGUGGAG
rnacentral:lncRNA from 1 species